AUUGAACGCUGGCGGCAUGCCUUACACAUGCAAGUCGAACGGCAGCAUGGGUGCUUGCACCUGAUGGCGAGUGGCGAACGGGUGAGUAAUGCAUCGGAACGUACCCGGAAGUGGGGGGAUAACGUAGCGAAAGUUACGCUAAUACCGCAUAUUCUGUGAGCAGGAAAGCGGGGGAUCGCAAGACCUCGCGCUUCCGGAGCGGCCGAUGUCGGAUUAGCUAGUUGGCGGGGUAAAGGCCCACCAAGGCAACGAUCCGUAGCGGGUCUGAGAGGAUGAUCCGCCACACUGGGACUGAGACACGGCCCAGACUCCUACGGGAGGCAGCAGUGGGGAAUUUUGGGCAAUGGGCGCAAGCCUGAUCCAGCCAUGCCGCGUGAGUGAAGAAGGCCUUCGGAUCGUAAAACUCUGUCCUUGGUGAAGAAAAGACGGUAGCCAAGGAGGAAGCCCCGGCUAACUAACGUGCCAGCAAGCCGCGGUAACUCAGUACUCGUA
rnacentral:rRNA from 1 species